rnacentral:rRNA from 1 species
GAUGAACGCUGGCGGCGUGCCUAAUACAUGCAAGUCGAGCGAACAGACGAGGAGCUUGCUCCUCUGACGUUAGCGGCGGACGGGUGAGUAACACGUGGAUAACCUACCUAUAAGACUGGGAUAACUUCGGGAAACCGGAGCUAAUACCGGAUAAUAUAUUGAACCGCAUGGUUCAAUAGUGAAAGACGGUUUUGCUGUCACUUAUAGAUGGAUCCGCGCCGCAUUAGCUAGUUGGUAAGGUAACGGCUUACCAAGGCAACGAUGCGUAGCCGACCUGAGAGGGUGAUCGGCCACACUGGAACUGAGACACGGUCCAGACUCCUACGGGAGGCAGCAGUAGGGAAUCUUCCGCAAUGGGCGAAAGCUUGACGGAGCAACGCCGCGUGAGUGAUGAAGGUCUGCGGAUCGUAAAACUCUGUUAUUAGGGAGAACAAAUGUGUAAGUAACUAUGCACGUCUUGACGGUACCUAAUCAGAAAGCCACGGCUAACUACGUG